CUAUUUGGUUCUAAAAUUCAUUCUCCAUCAUCAAUUGAUGAUUUAUAGGUGAUUCUCACAUUUUGGGGUUUCAAGCAAGUGGUUUAGGGUUCUUCCUUGAGUUGGUCGUCCACACUAGAGGUAAGGGGAGCUAGUUCUACUUUUCAUUUUAGUUGUGUGAUGUGAAUGCAUGAUAAUUUUUGAAGUGGUAUGUUGUUGGAGGCAUGAAAAUUGAUUCUAGUUAACUUGAAAUGCAUGUAUGGAAGGGUUUAAUAUGUGAAUUUGGUGUGUGAUGACCGUAC
rnacentral:lncRNA from 1 species